rnacentral:lncRNA from 1 species
AAACUCAUUGAUUUUUCUUCUCCUAAGAACACGUUAACUCCUUCUACUACAGGUGAGUAAGUCUCCAAAGGUCGAGCAUCUGGUAGAUUGCAUAGUAACGUCGUUCAUCUAAAAAACAAAAAACAAACAAAAUAGGUUAGCCGAGCUACGGUGCUCUGAUUCUCAAUCCUUCUUGAGAUACGUAUGCAACAGGGUAGGGCCUGUGCGAG